rnacentral:tRNA from 1 species
GCCGGGUUGGCUCAGUGGGUAGAGCAGGCACACAUGCACUGAGAGGUUCAUGCCUUGAUGCAGAGGUCCAGGUUCGAAUCUGACCUGUGA